rnacentral:rRNA from 1 species
UACGUAGGUGGCAAGCGUUGUCCGGAAUUAUUGGGCGUAAAGCGCGCGCAGGCGGUCCUUUAAGUCUGAUGUGAAAGCCCACGGCUCAACCGUGGAGGGUCAUUGGAAACUGGGGGACUUGAGUGCAGGAGAGAAGAGUGGAAUUCCACGUGUAGCGGUGAAAUGCGUAGAUAUCUGGAGGAACACCGGUGGCGAAGGCGGCAUCCUGGACCGACACUGACGCUGAGGAGCGAAAGCCAGGGGAGCAAACGGG